GGGUCAUGUGCAAAAUGUCAAAAUCACAAGGAGGUUAUGUGCCUAAUUUCAUACCAUAAAAGGGGUCAUGUGAAAAAUGUCAAAACCACAAAGAGGUUAUGUGCCUAAUUUCAUACCAUAAGGGGUCAUAUGCAAAAUGUCCGAACCACAAGGGGUUCGAAUAUGACUAUUGUAGAAUAUAAUUGUAGUCAUAUUCGAAUAUGUUUUAUCUUCUCGUUUCAAGUUGACUUGUAAUAACAAGAUUCAAAUUGUAAUUUUUAGUGUGGAUGUUGAUUCGAUUGUUUUCGUAAAUAAUAUGC
rnacentral:lncRNA from 1 species